CACAUCUGCGCCCGGCGCUGGCGCCGUCGGGCCGGUCGCUGCCGGUGACGUGCCGGGCGGGGCGGAAGGGAACGGAACGGAACGGAACGCUGUGCCGUGCUGUGCCUUGGGGGUGCAGGUGCCGGCGGUGGCAGCGCGCAGCGCCGGGCCAUGGCGGUGAACUACAGCGCGAAGGAUGAGGCGGACGGGCACCCCUCCGGCGGCGUGGGGGUGCCGGGCGGUAGCGCUCCGGGCGGCGGCGGCGCGGUGAAGACACGCAAGCCCGAUAACACGGCGUUCAAGCAGCAGCGACUACCGGCCUGGCAGCCCAUCCUGACGGCGGGCACGGUGCUGCCGGCCUUCUUCAUCAUCGGCCUCAUCUUCAUCCCCAUCGGCAUCGGCAUAUUCGUCACCUCCAACAACAUCCGCGAGUACGAGAUUGACUAUACGGGAACAGAGCCUUCUAGUCCCUGCAACAAAUGUUUAAAUGUGUCCUGGGACAGCACACCACCUUGUACAUGCACCAUCAAUUUCACACUGGAACAUUCAUUUGAGAGCAACGUAUUCAUGUAUUACGGACUUUCAAACUUCUAUCAAAACCAUCGUCGUUACGUGAAAUCUCGAGAUGACAGCCAACUAAAUGGAGAUAACAGUUCACUGCUGAACCCAAGUAAGGAGUGCGAGCCUUACCGUACAAAUGAGGACAAACCCAUUGCUCCUUGUGGAGCUAUUGCCAACAGUAUGUUUAAUGAUACGUUGGAAUUAUACCGCAUUGAGAAUGACACAAGGACUCCUAUUACUUUGAUUAAAAAAGGUAUUGCAUGGUGGACAGAUAAAAAUGUAAAGUUCAGGAAUCCCACAGGAGAUGGAAAUAACUUAACUGCGCUUUUCCAAGGCACAACAAAACCUAUAAACUGGCCCAAGCCAGUGUACAUGCUGGACUCGGAGCCUGACAACAACGGCUUUAUCAACGAGGACUUCAUCGUGUGGAUGCGCACGGCCGCGCUGCCCACCUUUCGCAAGCUCUACCGUCUCAUUGAGAGGAAGAACAACUUGCAGCCUACCUUACAGGCUGGGAAAUAUUCUUUGGAUAUCGCAUACAAUUAUCCUGUACACAGUUUUGACGGACGAAAAAGAAUGAUCCUAAGCACCAUUUCAUGGAUGGGAGGCAAAAAUCCCUUUCUGGGAAUUGCUUACAUCACCGUUGGGUCCAUAUGCUUCUUCUUAGGAGUUGUGUUGCUGAUCAUCCAUCACAAAUACGGAAAUCGAAACACCAGUGCAGACAUUCCCAAUUAAUCUUGCAUUUUGAAAACAAGUGUACUGCAUGUGCAUCAAGGCCAGUCCAGAACAGACCCAGGUUUUGAAAGAUAAAUCUCUGCUUCUGUCACUUCUGAGACUGGGUACAUACUUUUACCUAAAAAGUCCCCUUUCCCGUUCUGUGGAUUAACUCAAAAAUGACAGAAAUCUCUGGGAAGGAAGACCAUGACAAUCUAUGGUCAAGUAACAUCUGCAAGCAUAUCUAUCUGAUUGAAUCCAUCCCCUGGAGCCAUGAACAUGGCUGGUGUUUGGAUUGGGUUGACAGGAGGCGUUACUGACCACACCUUUCUCUCCAAUGUCCUACUUGCACUGGUAUAGUAAGUGGUUACUUGCACUGGUUACUUGUUUUCUGUAUGUCUACAGACAGAUAAGUUCAAGGCUGAGUUGAAGUAAGUAUAUAAUAGAAAAAUGUGACUAAGUCUAAAGCAGAAUGUACCCGGUGAUGUGAAAGGUUACUGAUUGGAACACAACUGCUGAAGACAAAGAACAAGGCAUAACCAUAGUCUAGAAGCUCUGCAAGUGAUUCUGAUCUGACCCCUCUGACAAGAAAAUACGGUUUCUGAUCUUGCUUGAAAGUUUGUGAUCUACCCUUGGUACUACAUAAUUUUGGUUUAUAAAAAAAGUUCAGCAUUUGUGUUACUUGAUGUUGUUCCCUGUAACUGAACUAACUGAAGGGAGCAACAGUACAAAGGCCUUCAGGAAGGAGAGCAACAUCGAGCUUCAAAUAAAGCCAGUCCCUUGAGGAUUUUGUAUUGACCUAGUCACCAAGUUUAAAAAAAGAACCCCUCCCUGGUCAGUGUUCCGCCUAUCACAUACUUGUCUAUUGAACAGCCUGCCAACAAUUCUCACUUUUGAACUAGGAGAAAAAGCCAUGAACAUAUAUGCCAAUUUUAUUGCUGAUCUUUUAGCAAUGUGGAUGGUUUAUGGCAGAAGCUCUUCUAGCAGCGUGAGAAUGGGCUCUGACGUGGAAAGCCCUGGUGAAAAAAGUGCUUUUUAAUUUUUUCUUUCUUUUUGCACUAGUAGCAGCAGUAUCAAAUUUUCCUCAGAUCAGCAGAAGUAUUUUCAUAUAAAAACACCCUAUGUUCCAGCUCACGGAAUCUGUUCUGAUCACUGUGUUGCCUUCUGUAGGCCUUACUGUGAAGUCUAAUCUUACUUGACAGUUUCAAUUAAGACUAAAGUCCAUCACAAAAUGGCCUGAUAAGAAUUAGCAGGUCCUUAUAUGACCCGUGACUCAAAUAAGAAACUACCUCCUGUAAGCCUCCUGUUCCAAACAUGCUCAGCCUUCAUUUGAAACUAAAAGUAAUGCUGUUCACUGAAUCACAGAAUGGUAGGGAUUGGAAGGGACCUUUAGAGAUCAUCUAGUCCAACUCCCCUGCCAAAGUAGGUCCAACUAAAUCAGGUCACACAGGAACGUGUCCAGGCGGGCUUGUAGACCUCCAAGGAAGGAGACUCCACACCCUCCCUGGGCAGUCAAUAAUUAGUGAAGUUGAAGAAGUUAAAAAAAUAUUUGAACAGAAGUAGAUGGAAUUAUUUUCCAGCAGACUGAUUUCAGGGAAAGAUGACAGAGGAAACAAUGCAAGCAAGCUGAGUACCAGAGCUAUGGAGAAAUGUAAUUGAAUUUGUGUUUGAGGAUUGUGCUCAAGUUUUGCUAAAUAAAAUGGUGAGAUGUUGUAAGUUGUAUUGGAGAGCCAGGAAUGUAAUCAAUGACCUCAUUAACUCUGGUAUGAAUGUGGGAGAGAUUGAUGUUCAUGGACGGAUGAAUUCCUGUGAGAUCUACUCUAGGUGGUCCUGCUCUGGCAGGACUGCAUGAUCUAUGAAGGUCCCUUCCAGCCCUUGAGAUUCUGUGAAAGAAACGAUUGUCUGCAGGCUCGCCUGCUGAGCUCUGGAGUUACAUGGUUGAAGUUACUGUAUGCUACACAAUAGAUGCCUGUAAACUUCAGAACAAACCUUUGUUCUGUCAGCAGCUUCUUUCAGUGCAAUUUUAGUGUAUUGCACAACUCUAACAUGGAAAAUGGUUAUACUAAGAAUACAGUGUGUUUUCUCUCUUCAUAUACAAUGUAGUUUUUAACUGGUUUAGUCAAUUAUUUUGUUUGCAAGAAAAAAAUAAACCAGUAUGCAAGCAAGAUGGGAGGAGGUUUUAACACUUGUCAUUUUCAGCCAUCCUGCUGCACCAGGAGUUUCUGCUUCCCCAGCUGGAUUGAAUGGUAACACAGUUGUUUGUGUCUUCUCUUUAGCAAGGUUUACACAACCUUCUAUUAUUGGUUUUAAACGUAUAAAAAAACUUCUGGGUUUUUCUGACUGCUUAUUAACAUACAUAUUAACAGCCCUGGUUUCAUUCUGGCUCCAGCAAAACUAUUUAACAGUGACUUUUCAUUAACAAUUUUAUUAUUCUUUGAUACAGUAUAUGCAGAAGUUACCCUGUCCAGCUAGGAAAAAACAGUCAGGGUUUGCUUCUAGUGAAAUAUUCUCACCCUGAGGUGCUUUCAUUUCUUUGUAAAUUAGUCAACAGUGAAGACACUGAAGCUCAGAUUCAGACAUACAGGGAAAUGGUCCACACAGCAGAAAUGAAACAGAGUAACGGGUACCUCUGCUAGUAGUGGAAUCUGAAGCACUGGGCAGGUGCACAUUUUUGGUUUUGGAGUUUUUCUUCUGCGUGUAGUGGCUCAACCAAAGGGGUGCCAAAU